UCUUGGUCUGGAGCAGCAAACUUCCAAGGCAGCAAGUUCUGGGAAAAUGAUCAUUAGGAGGGAAAAAUAAUUCAUUUUCAUGAGGUGCUUCAGCCACUUGAGAAGCCUUACCAGGAGCUGGGAGAGAUUCUCCACAAAGAUCCAAGUUUUCCUGGUUCCCUUUUAAAGCAGUUGAGAAGGAAGGAGGGAGUAAACUGCUUCCUUUGAGAACUGGGGAAUUUGGUGUCUGAAAUUGCAGAAUCACAGAACGUGCUGAGUUGGAAGGGACCCACAGGGAUCACAGAGUCCAACUCCUGGCCCUGCACAGGAGCAUCAGCAACAGAGCAUCAUCAUAUCUGUGCCCAGGAGUGAUGAGCACCUUGUGGCCUUUGGGUGCUUUAACUCCUCUGCAGUAAUGCCCUGCCUGUUCCCUCCAGCUCACUGACAGGCUGCACUGGCACCUUCCCUUUUCCUCAACACUGCAGCCUUCCAAGAGCAUGUGGGAUUCAGCAGUGAGCAGGCAGCUGCAGGGCAGUGACAGCUGAGCUCACACAGUGAGGCCAGUACUGC